GUAUGAGCAGAGCUGUAAUCUCGAUGUGAGGUGAGGUUUUCCAGCUGAACCCACACACAAGGCCUUCCUCUGCUCCACAGCAGUGCUGGGCUCUCCUUCACUCCACAGGCUCAGUCAGAGCUGCAGUGAGCACUGGUGCCAGACGAGGAGCAGCCGCUGAAAAGGCCAAACAGGUCCAAAAAAAGGGGAGUUGAUGGGAUUUCUUACACAAUUAUUUGUGUCCUUAACUCGAAGGAACCAGCAAGCGACAGACACUUGCUUCUAGAUAAAGAGCGCAGUGUUGUUGGUGGCCAGUUAGUCGUCGCAGCAUCGCCUAGCAACCCCCUCAGACUGCAGCAGCCUGUCAACACGCCGGCAGGAGCGCACCUCGGCGAUGAAGCUACAGAAAAAAUGCAAGCGUGUUUCAAGGGUAUGCACUGCUGUGACAUUGACACCACUGGAGAACAUUAUCAGUAGAAAUGUGGUCACUACUGAUACUGAAAAUCCAUUGAAGAAGCUCCAGAUGGGUUUCUUGGGAAACCGAGCUUGGGAACCAUUAACCAUUUUCACAGGAGGUGAAAUUCCCCCCAGUGAGGUGUGGAAGCUCCGUACAGCAGCAGCUUGGGGAACCAUGUUCACACCAGAUCAGGACAGUGUGUUCCACCCUGGUACCAGGGGCGGGUUACACAACCAUCUGAGUACAAAAGGCUUGAUUUGCUGAAGGGUCAUUGUGGCUGGGAAGACAGCGAACUUUGGGUUCUGCAAACACGGAGAGAAUAAUCCCCCAGGGUUUCGCACAAAUAUGCAUAACUUGAAAACUGCAAUAGGCUCAGAACCUUUGUUAAAAAUGGAUCGGGGGGUCUGUAAAGUGCAGCUAUUAAUCUAGUGUGAAACAGGGGCAAGGUGAAUGCCCUGCAGGGCCAUAAUAUUGGUCAGUGUUAUGACAGCAAGAAAAUUAAAAUAAACAAAAACUAAUGACUGUUUUGUUCAGGACAAACUUAAAAAAAUAAACAACCUAAUCAACAGCUCCUUCCUCACAGUUUUGAAAGAAAAUUACCUAAGAAGAUAAAGGCUG